GCUGGCAUAGCUCAGUUGGCUAGAGCAGCUGUUUUGUAAACAGCAGGUCGGGGGUUCGAGUCCCUUUGCCAGCUCCA
rnacentral:tRNA from 1 species